UGAGAAAGAAAAAAAUAUCGAGCCAUCGAGGGGUCAAGUUGUCGCCUGUCGAGCUAACCUACUAACUCCCGAGCGGUCGAGCCCUCUACCGCCGCCACGGCGCCACUGGCGCCCACCGCCAACCACCGCCUCGUCGCCGUCACACCUCGCCGGCCUACGCCCUCUAUCCCUCCACUCACAGAUCAGUGCCCCCCUACUCCUCCUGCUCGCCUUCCUCGUCCCCUCCUUGACGUCCUUGUGGGCGACGUCGGGCAUCAUCCGGCUGCCGUUCACCGGGGCCUGCGCUGCGCCGGCUGACCCGUCAUCUUCACGCACCCGGGCGAGGGGCGACAGAGCGGCCGGGAGGAUCAAAGCCUCCACCUCCUACAUGGGCGCCUCCUAAGUGAAGUUCGUCGAAGCCGGCGGCACCCGCGCCAUCCGGCUCAUCUACAACGAGCCCGCGAGCGCCUCCUCGAGAUCAAGGUAUAGGCUGACUACUACCGCCAUGAGAACUCGGUGACAUCCAUCAUCGGCAGAUGGCGUCACGCAAUCCCGGCUUGGAAUCGAUUAUCACCCUUAAUUCAACUCCGUUUGUUAUUACCUCUGUACUUAAAGUGUUGGUAGUGCAGAAUAUGUAAGUUGUCAAGUGUAAUAUUUGUGCUUCAGAAUCUGUGUUUUGUACUAAUACAUGUUAUGAAGUUGUCAAGUGUUCAUCAAUUUAA